rnacentral:rRNA from 1 species
GACGAACGCUGGCGGCGUGCUUAAAACAUGCAAGUCGAACGGACUUCUCAUGAAGCUUGCGAUUGAGAAGUUAGUGGCGGACGGGUGAGUAACGCGUGGGCAACCUGCCCCUGAGCCCGGGAUAACAGUUCGAAAGGACUGCUAAGACCGGAUAUACUUGCGGUGAAGCAUUUCACUGCAAGGAAGGGAACGCUCAGGGAUGGGCCCGCGUCCCAUUAGCUAGUUGGUGAGGUAACGGCCCACCAAGGCGACGAUGGGUAGCCGGCCUGAGAGGGUGAACGGCCACACUGGGACUGAGACACGGCCCAGACUCCUACGGGAGGCAGCAGUUGGGAAUCUUCGGCAAUGGGCGCAAGCCUGACCGAGCAACGCCGCGUGAGUGAUGAAGGUUUUCGGAUUGUAAAGCUCUGUCUUCCGGGACGAUAAUGACGGUACCGGAGGAGGAAGCCACGGCUAACUACGUG